rnacentral:rRNA from 1 species
CCUACGGGGGGCAGCAGUGAGGAAUAUUGGUCAAUGGGCGAGAGCCUGAACCAGCCAAGUCGCGUGAGGGAUGAAUGACCUAUGGUUCGUAAACCUCUUUUAUCAGGGAAUAAAGUGCGGGACGCGUCCCGCUUCGCGUGUACCUGAUGAAUAAGGAUCGGCUAACUCCGUGCCAGCAGCCGCGGUAAUACGGAGGAUCCGAGCGUUAUCCGGAUUUAUUGGGUUUAAAGGGUGCGUAGGCGGCGGUUCAAGUCAGCGGUAAAAAUGCGGGGCUCAACCCCGUACUGCCGUUGAAACUGGGGGCCUUGAGUGGGCGAGAAGUAUGCGGAAUGCGUGGUGUAGCGGUGAAAUGCAUAGAUAUCACGCAGAACUCCGAUUGCGAAGGCAGCAUUCCGGCGCGCUACUGACGCUGAGGCACGAAAGUGCGGGGAUCGAACAGGAUUAGAUACCCUUGUAGUC